UCCGGAAUCCUCCUCCAUUUUUGCCAUGCUACAAACUUUGCCAUCAUUUCUCUAUUUAAAAAGACCAAUUAGGAAACAUGGCGAGAUGUUAUGGACCCCAAAUCUGAGCUGGAUAGUUUGGUAUUCUGAGUUGAACGACCCCCCUUUUCUCUCACCUGCUGCCGUGCAUGUCCGUCCAUUUCCAAUGAGACCAGGAGGACAGGGUCCACAGACGAACCCCGCUGAGACAUGGGUGCUCUCAAAACACUGAACCCCCGGGUGACACAGCCGCCUGGAGCACGGUGACGGGCCCGAGGGUUUGGAUCUGUGAGGAACCUGAGGAACUCUUACUGGUGUGGUCGCUGCUACGACUGAAGGGUCAAAACAAGAAUAAAAGAACCUUUAAUGUGACAAGAAUACAAAAAAAUGAGGAAGAGGAAGAGGUUCUCCCAUCGCCGCUGUAUCCUUGAGGGCAGAGUCCACAGAUGAAGGAGCCCAGCGUGUUGUUACAGUUCACUCCAGGAGAACAAGGCUGAGAGACGCACUCAUCUAUGUCUUCUCUACACGUGCGGCCUGAGAGCAAAACAAUCAACAGACAAAACAAUAUGUGUACUUUUCAUGAG